CUGGAAACCUAGAGUGUGUGAAGUUGCUA
rnacentral:piRNA from 1 species